UGAGGAAUAUUGGUCAAUGGUCGCAAGACUGAACCAGCCAUGCCACGUGCAGGAAGACGGUCCUAUGGAUUGUAAACUGCUUUUAUACAGGAAGAAACCCUCCCACGUGUGGGAGCUUGACGGUACUGUAGGAAUAAGGAUCGGCUAACUCCGUGCCAGCAGCCGCGGUAAUACGGAGGAUCCAAGCGUUAUCCGGAAUCAUUGGGUUUAAAGGGUCCGUAGGCGGUCUUAUAAGUCAGUGGUGAAAGCCCAUCGCUCAACGAUGGAACUGCCAUUGAUACUGUAAGACUUGAAUGCUUAGGAAGUAACUAGAAUAUGUAGUGUAGCGGUGAAAUGCUUAGAUAUUACAUGGAAUACCAAUUGCGAAGGCAGGUUACUACUAAGUGGUUGACGCUGAUGGACGAAAGCGUGGGGAGCGAACAGGAUUAGAUACCCUGGUAGUCCACGCCGUAAACGAUGGAUACUAGCUGUUCGGCGCAAGUUGAGUGGCUAAGCGAAAGUGAUAAGUAUCCCACCUGGGGAGUACGCACGCAAGUGUGAAACUCAAAGGAAUUGACGGGGUCAUAGCUGUUUCCUG
rnacentral:rRNA from 1 species